AGGUAGGGGGCGGUUCGUUUCUGACGGCACUGCCCCAUUUACCUGUGUUUUUGACGGAGGUCUCAAGGUGGCUUUAAUCGGCUGUCUUGGUACGCCGUCAGGUUUACUUUGAAAAAAUUAGAGUGCUCAAAGCAGGCUACAAAGCUUGAAUAUUUGUGCAUGGAAUAAUGGAAUAGGAAGUCGUUUCUAUUUUUUUUGGUUUUCGGAAAUUGACUUAAUGAUUAAUAAGGGACAGCCGGAGGCAUUAGUACUCAGACGACAGAGGUGAAAUUCUUGGACCGUUUGAGGACUAACUACCUGGCGAAAGCAUUUGCCAAGAGUGUUUUCAUUAAUCAAGAACGAAGGUUAGAGGUUCGAAGGGCGAUCAGAUACCGCCCUAGUUUCUAACCAUAAACGAUGCUGACUAGCGAUCCGUAGCUGUUUUCUAUGUAGGCUCUACGGGAAGCUUCCGGGAAACCAAAGUUUUUGAGUUCCGGGGGAAGUAUGGUUGCAAAGCUGAAACUUAAAGGAAUUGACGGAAGGGCACCACCAGGAGUGGAGCCUGCGGCUUAAUUUGACUCAACACGGGAAAUCUCACCAGG
rnacentral:rRNA from 1 species